UGGUGGCGACCGGCGCACGGGUGCGUAACGCGUAUGCAACCUACCCAUAGCAGGGGGAUAACACUGAGAAAUUGGUACUAAUACCCCAUAACAUCAGGACCGGCAUCGGUUCUGGUUGAAAACUCCGGUGGUUAUGGAUGGGCAUGCGUUGUAUUAGCUGGUUGGUGAGGUAACGGCUCACCAAGGCAACGAUACAUAGGGGGACUGAGAGGUUAACCCCCCACAUUGGUACUGAGACACGGACCAAACUCCUACGGGAGGCAGCAGUGAGGAAUAUUGGUCAAUGGACGCAAGUCUGAACCAGCCAUGCCGCGUGCAGGAAGACGGCUCUAUGAGUUGUAAACUGCUUUUGUACGAGGGUAAACGCUCUUACGUGUAAGAGCCUGAAAGUAUCGUACGAAUAAGGAUCGGCUAACUCCGUGCCAGCAGCCGCGGUAAUACGGAGGAUCCAAGCGUUAUCCGGAUUUAUUGGGUUUAAAGGGUGCGUAGGCGGUUUGAUAAGUUAGAGGUGAAAUACCGGUGCUUAACACCGGAACUGCCUCUAAUACUGUUGAACUAGAGAGUAGUUGCGGUAGGCGGAAUGUAUGGUGUAGCGGUGAAAUGCUUAGAGAUCAUACAGAACACCGAUUGCGAAGGCAGCUUACCAAACUAUAUCUGACGUUGAGGCACGAAAGCGUGGGGAGCAAACAGGAUUAGAUACCCUGGUAG
rnacentral:rRNA from 1 species